rnacentral:rRNA from 1 species
UUGAACGCUGGCGGCAUGCCUAACACAUGCAAGUCGAACGGGGGUAGCAAUACCCUAGUGGCGGACGGGUGAGGAAUACAUAGGAAUUUGCCCUUAAGUGGGGGAUAGCCCGGGGAAACCCGGAUUAAUACCGCAUGAACUCGUGAGAGCAAAGUCGGGGACCUUCGGGCCUGGCGCUUUUGGAGAAGCCUAUGUCGGAUUAGCUAGUUGGUGAGGUAAUGGCUCACCAAGGCUGCGAUCCGUAACUGGUCUGAGAGGAUGAUCAGUCACACCGGAACUGAGACACGGUCCGGACUCCUACGGGAGGCAGCAGUGGGGAAUAUUGGACAAUGGGCGAAAGCCUGAUCCAGCAAUGCCGCGUGUGUGAAGAAGGCCUUCGGGUUGUAAAGCACUUUAGGCUGGAAAGAAAAAGCUUUGGCUAAUAUCCAAAGCCUUGACGGUACCAGCAGAAUAAGCACCGGCUAACUCUGU